GCCUCCUGGCUUGGUUAUCCUGGGCUUUGCUCAUCUACCCAAAAAGUAUUUAGUUGUGCCCCCGGAGAUACGGAUCUUCAUCAACUCAUUGCCCUUCCGGAACCGGAGCUCCGUCUGUUCUUGUCUUGUCCUGGGACACACAGAGGCCCGGGGCAGUAAACCUGCGUCAAAUUCAGCCCACCCAAAGCUGGACUAAGAUCGUUUCACCCAAAAUGGUUCCUGUUCCAGUGUUGCCGUCAGGCUGAUGAGACUAGCCCAGGGCAGCCCCCUCAUCAGGGCCCACUUGAGAAACCCGCACCCCUCCACGUCCAAGUGACUCUGAGCUCUAUUGGCACUGCCAUCUCUACAUGCUCCAGCAUCACAUCCCCUGGGUUGGCAGUCUCAACUCUGCCACCUACACUGUUGCUGACGAGACUGGUUCCGAGUUACCUGCAUGAUGUCUUUUGAAAGAGAUGCAUACAGGGAUCCUUCAUGAGUGUGUGCGAGUGAGACAACUCCUGUACCACAGGACCUGUGAGGAGGGCAUGGGCCUUCUCCAGGAGGAAGAUGGAUCCAUCGAGAGAGUCUGGCACCUGUUGCAGACCCCCGCUCAUUCUGUGAGCUUGUCCCUCCAGGCCCCUGACGGUGCAGUAAAUCACAGGAGGACAGAGGCCGCACAUCUAUCACUGUGUGCCCCGCCUGCUGCAGCUGCACGUAAUGGCUCUCAGAAACGAGAUGAAACAGAAUUUCUGCUCCGAGAUGUCCGUCAAACCCUGCAGCGCCCCUGGUUUUAGCUCUGACAUGAUGACACCUACUGGCCUGAGCAGAAACAGCACCUCUCUUAUUUGCUAUCUGAGACCCAGAGACAUCACUGAAAAGCAGAGACACUACUUUGUCUACAAAGGGAAUGGUUAGAAGUCAUAACGAGUGCUGUGAAAGAAAAGUAGUAAGGGUUAAGGAAGGACAGCAUUCGUUCAACUUCCCUGGUGCUUUUUCAUGAGGUCUCAGUUCAUCUCUCUGCACGCAGAGCUGGCGGGGAGGACCGUGUUUCCAUGCGAGCCUCGGCGGAGGUCGGGAGCAAACGCUUGCUCUGUCAGCAGAAGACCCCAGGCCCGGGAGCCCCUGAACCCUCGGGGCGCCCUCAGCAGGGCCGACUCAAUGUGACAUGCUCUGGGUGCUAUCCUCCUAGAAGCUUUACAAUACAGACCUGGGCUUGCCUCAGAACUUUCUUCCGCAAACCCUCAGAAAGUGGGCAAAUCUAUUGGUCCCCUUCGCAGCGUCAAGAGGAAGGGACUCUGACAUCUCCUGGCCAGACCUCCCAGGGCCAGCGUCGGUAGGGUUUCCCUGCCCCUGGUCUAUUUCGGCAGCAUCUCAGAAAAACGGGAGGACAAAGCGGGGUAUCAAACCCGCCAGAUGCAGGCUCCAGCCCUGAGGAUCAGAUGUGACCGGUGUGGCGGGGGGCUCCGGAGCAGCAUGUGUGAGGGUUUCCAGGGGUGGGCGCCGCUGGACCCAGGCACAGUCCUGCUGGGAAGUACAGGGCCCCAGCCAGGUGCAGACACGGGAAGGUGUCCCCAGGGCCCUGGGAGGCUGUCAGGGGCUCCUCUGGCCGUGCAUGACUGCUACCUUGCGGCUGGUAUUCCAGUCUGGGCAAUGGGGACAAGGCUGGGACGAGGGUGGGACCAAGAUCAGGAACCAGAUUCAGUGCUGUUCACCAUGAUUAAUUAACCCAGAGCCAGAGCCCCAAGGCGCAGCGCUAAAAAUACGUGCUCCUCUCGGAGAGGCGGCAGCUGCCACCCAGCAACUUUUACCCGUCGCCAUUUGUCAUAAUUUGACACUGAUAAGGAGUGGGUCCACGGAGCCGUGUGCAAGAAUCGCCCGCCACAGCCCACCAGCCAGCUGGGCCGCGAUAACUGUCCGCGGCGCUUUCCUCCCCAGACUCUCCCCCCAUCCCC